CCUACGGGGGGCAGCAGUGGGGAAUAUUGCGCAAUGGGGGCAACCCUGACGCAGCAACGCCGCGUGCAGGAAGAAGGUCUUCGGAUUGUAAACUGUUGUCUCAAUUUAAGAAGACAGUGACGGUACCUUGUGAGAAAGUCACGUCUAACUACGUGCCAGCAGCCGCGUUAAUACGUCUGUGACAAGCGUUGUCCGGAUUUACUUGGUGUAAAUUGCGCGUAUGCGGACUGUCAAGUCAUUCUUUACAUCCCGAAGCUUACCUUCUGUGCUGCGAUUGAAACUGACAUCCUUUCUUCUC
rnacentral:rRNA from 1 species